rnacentral:rRNA from 1 species
GUGGGGAAUAUUGGACAAUGGGCGAAAGCCUGAUCCAGCCAUGCCGCGUGUGUGAAGAAGGUCUUCGGAUUGUAAAGCACUUUAAGUUGGGAGGAAGGGCAGUAAGUUAAUACCUUGCUGUUUUGACGUUACCAACAGAAUAAGCACCGGCUAACUUCGUGCCAGCAGCCGCGGUAAUACGAAGGGUGCAAGCGUUAAUCGGAAUUACUGGGCGUAACGCGCGCGUAGGUGGUUCAGCAAGUUGAAGGUGAAAUCCCCGGGCUCAACCUGGGAACUGCCUCCAUAACUACUGAGCUAGAGUACGGUAGAGGGUAGUGGAAUUUCCUGUGUAGCGGUGAAAUGCGUAGAUAUAGGAAGGAACACCAGUGGCGAAGGCGACUACCUGGACUGAUACUGACACUGAGGUGCGAAAGCGUGGGGAGCAAACAGGAUUAGAAACCCCAGUAGUCC